UCUUGUUCUAAUUUUGCCAGGGCUUUCUCUGGAAGACAUGAGCGUGAUGCUUUUGACACCCUGUUUGACCAUGCACCGGAUAAACUGAAUGUUGUCAAAAAGACACUGAUCACAUUUGU